GCUAUUCACCAAACAGUGGACAAGACUAGACAGCUAGUUCAUACACUGGACAAAUAGCCAGCCUAAGUAUCUUGAAUACUACGUUUUGAGGGUGAUGACACCUACGGGUGCUUUCCAGCUUGUAGCUCUGUCGUUAGAGAUUAAACAGAUGUAUUUGGUUAAGUCAGUGUCUCUAACCCAACAAGCCAUCAAAACCUUGGCGAGGAAAACAUAAC
rfam:Oscillatoria nigro-viridis PCC 7112, complete genome.